UCUCUCUCUUUCUCUAAAAUCAAUCAAAAGCUUCAUUGUUUCCUCCGAUAAUUUUUUUUCGAUCUGGCUAAAAUUAGAUCGGAAUUGAAUAUAUAUCCACCCGAUUUGUACAAGAAUUGAUUCGAGAUCUGCUGUGAUGUUUAGCUUUUGAAGAUGGGAGAUGAAACAGUUGAAAUUACGCUACAGAGCGCGUUGAACCUCUUAUCUUCUCACUAACCAUAACGAAAUCCAAAACAAGUGCAGAGAAGAUCUUCCAAACGCUAAACAUUUACCAUACCAUCUUACACCUUAAUUCCCAAAAUCGAUCAGAUCUUCAGGUACAAUUCUACGGCUUGUCUUCUUGCUUUGAUUAAAGAAGAGCGAGUGAAGAAGAAGAUAUAUUAAAGCUUG